rnacentral:lncRNA from 1 species
GCAGGGAACGUCCGUGACAAUAGGAGACAUCCAUGGCAGCAGGAGAUGCCCGCAGGUGGCAAAUGACGUCCACGACAACAGAGGAUGUCCACAAUGACAAGAGAUGUCUGUGGGCGACAAAGGAGUAUGCAGAAGGUAGGCAAUGUGCACUCAUCAAGGGGAUGGGCAGAUGGAGGGUCGACUCUCAGUGGCAGCAACGACUGAGAGGAAACAUGAGGGUAAACUCUGAAAAUAAUCUUUUAAAAAUUUAAAAUUCAC